UAGGGAAUCUUCGGCAAUGGACGAAAGUCUGACCGAGCAACGCCGCGUGAGUGAAGAAGGUUUUCGGAUCGUAAAACUCUGUUGUUAGAGAAGAACGUUGCAUAGAGUGGAAAAUUAUGCAAGUGACGGUAUCUAACCAGAAAGGGACGGCUAACUACGUGCCAGCAGCCGCGGUAAUACGUAGGUCCCGAGCGUUGUCCGGAUUUAUUGGGCGUAAAGCGAGCGCAGGUGGUUUAAUAAGUCUGAUGUAAAAAGGCAGUGGCUCAACCAUUGUGUGCAUUGGAAAC
rnacentral:rRNA from 1 species